CGCAGGCUCACCUCGGCGUAUAGUAAUAAGCUCGUAUUUAUGUACGUAAUAGUCGACUCAUGCUUGUGGUAACACCGCGGAAAAACGUCUGCGCAUGUGUCAACCUUACCUGUAAUAGAAUUGCGAACUUGAUGAGAAGCUGUUCCGAACGUUUCCGAAGGCUCAAAAUGGCGGUAAAAAGGAGUGACUUCAUUGUGCGUCUUUACAGCCAGAUUUCGAGCGCAAUAAUAAACAUGUCAUUCUAAAAACUAGGAAUAAAUACAGCCAGAAGGUUCAAAAAAUUGUAUUGCACAAGAACAUGAACUAAAGGUAAUUGUUGACAAAUUUAUCGUCUGAAACAUUUUGUUUAUCAACUAAGCAACGACAAUUUCCGAAUUUUCGUUUGAGAUACAUUUCUUUAAAAAAAAC